GUUUUUUUAAUUGAUUGAGAAUUAUUCGGCCAUCGCCCCGCAACGCGGGCGGUGGCAUUAACUAGUUAUCCUACAUAUACAUUUACCAAUGGGGAAUAGUGCUAGGCAGCUGCCUGGCACUCCCCUAUUGGACCAACGCGUUUAUUGUUUUAUAACCAUUUUAAAAUUACGUUUUUGUCCCCAGCUCAAAAUAAAAUUACGUUUUUUGUCCUCAUCUCAAAAUUACAAUCUUGCCCUCAAUUCAAAAUUACGACUUUGCCUGCCACUCUCCCAUUGGACCAACCAGUUUAUUAUUUUAUAUCCAUUCUAAAAUCACGUUUUUGUCCCUCUUUAAAAUUAAUGUUUUGCCCCAGCUCAAAAUAAAAUUACGCAUUUGUCCCCAUCUUAAAAUUCCGAUUUUUCCCUCCAUUCAAAAUAAAAUUGUGGUUUUGCCCUCAGCUCAGAAUUACUUUUACGCCCCCAGUUCAAAAUAAAAUUUUGUUUUUGCCCCCAGCUAGAAAUUACGAUUUUGCCCUUUGUUCAAAAAUGUGAUUUUCCCCGUUAAAAAAUUGAGAUUUCGCCCUCAAUUCAAAAUUACGUUUUUCCCCAGUUCAAAAUAAAAUUAUGUUUUUGCCCUAACUCAAAAUUACGAUUUUGCCCUCGGUUCAAAAUAAAAUUGUGCUUUUGCCUCCAGCCUAAAAUUACGAUUGUGCCCUUAGUUCAAAUUUACAUUACAUUGUUACCCCAAGUUCAAAAUUACGAAUUUGCCCCUGUGAAAAUUUACAAAUUUGCUCCUGGUUCAAAUUUACAGUACUGCUAUUACUUUAGCUUUUUGCAAAUUACAAUUUACAAUUUUAUCCCAGUAAAAAAACAACUUUUCCUCAGUUAAAAAUUACAAUAUUGCCAUUGUUUUAGUUUUUUUUUAAUCAAAACUUUAAAAGUGUUUUGUUUUAAUUGGUUGACUCGAUUUAAUUGUUUUUUUUUUUAUCAAUGAGCUGACUAAUACUUGCUCAUUAUUCGGCUAUCGCCCCGCUACGCGGGCAGAGCAUUAAUUAACUAUUAACUAUUAACUAUUUUAACUAGUUGAUAGACAAAGUGAAAUAAAUAGUGGUUUAUUGUGGUUCAUUAUGAUUGGUUGGUUUAACCAAUGAACUAACUCCACCAAGACAAUAUUUGGCUUCGUCUUCUCAACCACGACACCAUGUAAACCCCCCAUCUACCCUUACACAUAUCCAGAAGGAAAAAUAGGAGAUGCCAAAGCCGUCGGCCACCGAUGAGAGAGAGAGAGAGAGAGCGCGAUCGCGAAUGAACAACAUCGCGGGCGAAGUCCUCACGCAGUCCCCCAUACUCCAGCCAUAACAAUGACGGUCGACAACGAGUUCGUGUGAGGACCGCGCAACGGCUAGGGUUUCACGGGAUCAACAAGUAAUGAAGGUGGUAGCUACGAUUUUGAGACACGACGACAGCUUUGAGAAAGCACAUCGCCUUCCAGCUCUGCUCGUCGCUCUUUGGUUCCCGGGAAUGUAACGCACCGCACCGCACCGCAUCGCCAACGUCCAGUUUAUCUGUGAAUAUACUCGCAAAGGUUGAUGAACUAAUCAAGGACAAGACUGAAACGGAGAAGGGCAGGUUCUGGUGCAAAAGAGCAAAAACGAGUAAUAUGGGAAUGAUCAGCCAGUCGGGCAGAGUAGAAUGCCAGAGACCGAAUUAAAAUUGCCGCUAUUUUUCUUGAUUGGAUAAAGACGAAUAAGAGGAGGCUGCCAUAAAAAAAAAGCAAUAUCAUCGAGCCGCACAUAAUUCACGUAGGAGGGCUCUAUGUCACACCCCAACCAAUGGCGGAAACAUCGGGAUGAGACGAAGUGUGAAGAUUGCUAGAGACAUCAUAACGCUAUUUGUGACAAUAUUUAGAAAAUCCAAAUUUCAUUUCAUUUCAUAACUUCAAAUAGUCAACAUUACAAGAAAUUCAAAUACAACAAGUUUAACAUAACAACAUGAUAACAUAACAAAA